rnacentral:rRNA from 1 species
GGAUUGACACGUCGGUCGUGCCUUAAGGGGUAUGAACUGGCGUAGUCAAUUUCUCACCUUCUGGAGAACCGCGCUGUCCUUAAUUGGGUGACGCGGGGAACCAGGACCUUUACUUUGAAAAAAUUAGAGUGUUUAAAGCAGGCAUUUUGCUUGAAUACAUUAGCAUGGAAUAAUAAAAUA